rnacentral:ncRNA from 2 species
UGUCCCCGACAGGGGAGCUGUUUGGCUGAGAGUGCGGAUGGUCCGCAGACCCUCGAACCUGAUCCGGGUAAUGCUGGCGUAGGUGGUCGAGCUCUGCCACGU